ACUUCACCUGACAAGACAUAAUAAAAUAAAAAUAAAAGACUUCAAGAAGGAGGCAAGUACGUGAUAUGCUUUGUUUCAACUUUGCUUCAGCUUUAUAUGGGUAAAUGAAAUGUCUACUGAUACAAAAUAUGUUCCCAUUGUAAGUGUAUGUUUUUGGAAAUAUGAUUUUUGGCAUGAUUUCUACUUGGACAUCCAUCAGCAAAUAUGACUUUGAACAAUACUUGUAUUUUUCAUUAAUGGUGAGAUUAUGUCUUGUCAGUUGAAGUCCAAUGUUCUCAAAAGUAAACAGUUGAUGAAACCUGGCUACUGAUACCAGUUUGGAUUCUGAGGUCAGUGCUAUCUGUACAAAGGUUGAAGCCUUUUUGGCAGCUAUCCCCAUAGCCUUGGAAGACUUUUCUUGAUACGUUUUUUAAGUUAACAUUUACUGUUUUUAUGUGUAUGUGCCUGAAUGAGUUUAUAUGCACCACUUGUGUACAGGAGGCAACAGGGAUCAAAAGAAAGUGUAUGGUUUCCUGUUACUGAAGAUAGAGUCAGUUUUAGGAUGCCAGGUAAGUGAGGUAAUUGAACCUGUGUCCUCAGCAAAAACAAGUUUCAAAGAAUCUGAUUCCUUCUUUGACCUCCACUGCACCAGCCCUGUGCAUGGUACUCAGGUACACAUGCAAAACCAAUGCUCAUACACAUGAAAUAUGAAUGAAUCUUUUGCAAAAGUUGAGUAACUCAACUUCUUCCAUACUCACCUUAAAGAAAAUAUUCUAUACAUACUUGUCCUUCCAGUUCAUUUCCCAUCCCCUCCAAAACUGUCUUUCUGAUUCCAAGCCAGAUCCAAAGGUGCCUCUAGUUCCAGAUCACAGUUCCCUUGAACACCCACUGUUUUCUUGGGAAUAUGUUUUGAGAAAUGUAAGACUACUAAAUCAAUCCAUAGGUGAUGAUAUUGCCAAGUUUGAAAAUGGCAGGAACAAUCCUUGGCCUCUCAUCAAUAAAUGAGAAAAUAUUCCACAAAGCCUGACAGAGGUAGAGUCGACCCAUACAGGAAGAAAAAAAAAAAAACCCACUGAACCCAGAGAGUAUAUAAGGACAAGCAAAGGAGCUGGGGAGUAGAGUGUAGGCAACAUCACCAGAAAGACGUGGUCCUGACACACAGAUAAUUCUAUUUCAGACCAAAUGAAGCAGCUGCUGCUGCUGCUGCUGCUGCUGCUGCUGCUGCUGCUGCUGCUGCUGCUGCUGCUGCUGCUGCUGUGUUUGGGACUAACCCUAGUCUGUGUCCAUGCAGAAGAAGCUAGGUCUAUGUGAAGGAACUUUAAUAUAGAAAAAGUACGAUCAGUGAAUUGUAUGUAUGAUCAGAAUGUGCUUUGUGGAAAUGUUUUAGCCAAGUGGGUCCUUUGAGGGAAUGGUUAUUGUGCCACAAUGUAUUAGACAAAUGAAUGGCUCCAGACUUUGAAGUAAGACCAGCUACUCAGAUCUAACAAUGUUUGGAGACCUCUGUUCUCACUGAGAGGUAGGGACAGUAUGCUAAGCAUUGUGGCAACUGGCAUGAGAUAUACCCCUGUGUAUGCUCAGGCCCUAAUGCAUAGGCUGGAGUUCAAGUGGAAACAUGCAUGUGGUAUCCCUGCUUCUUCUUCCUUAACCAUUUGCUUAUCUACUACAGAUUAAUGGGGAAUGGUACACUAUUAUCCUGGCUUCUGACAAAAGAGAAAAGAUAGAAGAACAUGGCAGCAUGAGACUUUUUGUGGAGCACAUUCAUGUCUUGGAGAAUUCCUUAGGUUUUAAACUCCAUACUGUAACAAAGAAUUUCUGAGCCAUGUCCCAUUUCCUCCAGAGAUGAUGGAUUCAAUACAUUUACUAUACUGAAGACAGAAUAUGAUAAUUAUAUUAUGUUUCAUCUCAUUAAUGAAAUGAAUGGGGAAACCUUCCAGCUGAUGUUGCUUUAUGACCUAGAACCGGAUUUGAGGUCAGACAUCAAGGAAGAAUUUGCAAAACUAUUUGAGGAGCAUGGAAUCGUUAGAGAAAAUAGCAUUGACCUAUCUAAUGCCAAUCACUGUCUCCAGGCCCUAGAAUGAAGAUUGGCCUGAGCCUCCAGUGUUGAGUGGAGACUUCUCACCAGGACUCCAGCAUCAUCCCUUCCUAUCCAUACAGCAUCCUGUGACAAGUUCUGUGAUCUGUUUUCCAUCAUGUCUCACAGAGAAUUGCAAUCCCUGUCUCUCCAGCAUGUUACUAGGAUAACUCAUCAAGAAUCAAAGACUUUCAUUAAAUUUCAUUUGAUACACCCAUGA